GGCCUUGGGAGCGAGGUUUGGGCGCUUCUGGGCUUUGUUUCCUCCCUUGGAUGGGCCUUGGCUCUGUUGACCUUGGUGGGAUGGCUUUUGGCCGCCCUUACCACGCCUCUUUUGGCGUUUUGGGUGCUGAUUAGUGCUAUAAUGUGCUUCAGGCACAGCAGUAGCCCCAGUAGGUUGAGCUUGAUGAUUCUUCAUCAACAGC
rnacentral:lncRNA from 1 species